GACGGAAGGUGCAAGCGUUGCUCGGAAUCACUGGGCGUAAAGGGUGCGUAGGUGGUUUGUUAAGUCUGAUGUGAAAGCCCUGGGCUCAACCUGGGAAUGGCAUUGGAUACUGGCGAGCUAGAGUGCGGUAGAGGGUAGUGGAAUUCCCGGUGUAGCAGUGAAAUGCGUAGAGAUCGGGAGGAACAUCUGUGGCGAAGGCGACUACCUGGACCAGCACUGACACUGAGGCACGAAAGCGUGGGGAGCAAACAGG
rnacentral:rRNA from 1 species